AUGGACGAGUGUGGAUGUGGUGCACGUGCGUCCUUAUUAUUUCGUGACUAGAUACAUACUCGUCUACG
rfam:Solenopsis invicta Si_gnG.contig03161, whole genome shotgun sequence.